UGGGGAAUAUUGCACAAUGGGCGAAAGCCUGAUGCAGCGACGCCGCGUGAGGGAUGACGGCCUUCGGGUUGUAAACCUCUUUCAGCAGGGACGAAGCGCAAGUGACGGUACCUGCAGAAGAAGCACCGGCUAACUACGUGCCAGCAGCCGCGGUAAUACGUAGGGUGCAAGCGUUGUCCGGACUUACUGGGCGUAAAGAGUUCGUAGGCGGUUUGUCGCGUCGUUUGUGAAAACCAGCAGCUCAACUGCUGGCUUGCAGGCGAUACGGGCAGACUUGAGUACUGCAGGGGAGGCUGGAAUUACUGGUGCAGCGGUGAAAUACGCAGAUAUCAGGAGGAACACCGGUGGCGAAGGCGGGUCUCUGGGCAGUAACUGACGCUGAGGAACGAAAGCGUGGGUAGCGAGCAGG
rnacentral:rRNA from 1 species